rnacentral:rRNA from 1 species
UAGGGAAUCUUCGGCAAUGGAGGCAACCCUGACCGAGCAACGCCGCGUGAGUGAAGAAGGUUUUCGGAUCGUAAAGCUCUGUUGUAAGAGAAGAACGUGUGUGAGAGUGGAAAGUUCACACAGUGACGGUAACUUACCAGAAAGGGACGGCUAACUACGUGCCAG